UUUCAUUAGUUGUGAAAUAUAUUAAGGAGAAAUGUAACAGCAUGCUUCAGAUAAUAUAAUUUAAUGUAGGCAGACAAACUGAGACUAAUUAUGGGGUUAGGUUUUCCCAGGAAAUAUUUAUUUAAUUAAUUUCCACAAUUUAAAAAUUAGUCCUGCGAGGAUUUCCUGAUUCUCUGCCUUCAGUAAAGCAGGACCUUCUCUUUUUUCAAGCCAUAACUUUUUUAUAGAACUUUAUUGUUAAUUACACCAUGAAGUAUUUUUUCUUACUCUCAAUAUUUCUGUGGUAACCAAAUGAGAAACUUGUUUCUAUAUUAUUUUGAAUUUUUCUCCAUUUUUUCAUGGUAUCCUUGUUUUCCCUUGGACUUCAUUACAAGGUUUUAGACUCCCAUGUUUAUUGCUGGACCCCUCCUUGCCACCUGAUGUAUAUUUGUGUGUCUGUAGAUAACCAGGUAAUAAGUAAUGUUGUUCAACUUCUGAAUGAUAGUUCAGUGAGUCAAAUAGAUAUCUACAUCUACAUCUGUAAGAACAUGAUAUUUCCAAAAUAAUAAUAAAAUAUUAAUGUUUUCUAUAUGGCUGUGUAUAUGUGAUGGUAAAAAGUCAUGCCUAUUAUAAUUUCAAAAAUUAAAUAUUUGAUGGCAUUUUGUGCCUGGAAGCAAAGAAACUAACUUCAUAAUGGCUUUUAUUACAUGUUUUCCAGUGACUACUUUGAUAUCAUUUGAAUUAAGAUGUAUGUAAUAGAAACACUGCCUUACUCGCCAACUUUGCAUUUCUAAGUGAAGAUAUAUUCCCCUCUCUUCUCUUCCUCCCUCAGCUUAAAAUUAACCCCAUUUGGGGGAGCAUUAUUAAAGUUCUCUUGUAGGAUUCUUACAUGUAGAUGUGAGUAUAUCAAGAAACUAGCAUAGAACAUAGCACAUGAUAAGUAAUCAUUAGUUUUAAUUUUUGUUCCACAUUCCACCUUUAAAGUUUAUAUACCAAGCUUUGAGAUGAAAUUAUUUGGCUAGUACCACUUUAAUCAGCUUGUAUUUGGAGUUAGUUUAUUCUCCAUAUUCUACAAAAUCAAAAUUAAGAUUUGCUUUUUAUUAGACUUUGGAGAUCCUGUUACAUUUGGAUCUCAUGGAUUUUAGAUGAAAAAUAGACCUACGGAUCAUGUAGUUCAUUACACAGAUGGGGAGUUGUUACCAAUGGGCAUCUUGAAGUGACAUCAUACAGCCUGGUAGCUGGGGAGACAGAUACAGAAAUCAGGUCUUCUAACUUCUUGUUUAAUGUCCUUUUUAGUGCAACAUACUUCCCCUGAGUUGGAUUGAUAAACGGUUCCUUGCUGAUGUUCAGAAAUCUCUAACAUAUUUGUGGAUAAUGUUAUAGUAGCUAUUUUGAGUAUCACCCCAGAAGUUAAGAUAACAAAAGACAGAUUUAAUUUGCAUAUGCUUUUUAUGUGUAAAUUACUUCACUAUUUACAACUUUUUUUUCCUCUAAUAAUAGGUCUCUGUUAUUUUGGUUUUUGUAGUUUUUUCAAGUGGGAUGAGGGAUGGAGACAAUCCUAAUAAUUCAAGAGGUGGGAAACAAAUAAGGAAAAGAAAGAAUGUUUCAUCCUUACUCACCUACCUACUUUGAUAUUUUCUUCAGGGAUUAUAAAUCCAUUAUUUCUACCGUUAAUAAUAGUUUGCUCUUCAGAUAAGCUACAAACUCUGUAGAGGUUAAAACUUUCAAUAUACAACUGUGGCUGUUUGUUCACCACAGUGCAUCGCCAGGUAAACUUUAACCAAAAGCCCAAGAGACUGAAUAUUUUAAUCCUACAGAAGCAGUUUUGUUCGCUGGCAAAACAGUACCUGGAUUUUGAGUAUUUCUCAAAGGAGCUAGGCUGGGAAUUUAAAAUAUGUUAGAGCUCCUCAAGGGGCAUAGAACAUCUGCUGGACUGUAAUCUAAUAAAACAGAAUUGGACAAAGAUGAGGUCUCUGACAUAUGCUGGUGCUGGACUUAUACUUGAACAGCUCAAGCAGUUUUGCUUUGAUAAACUGAUCAAGACAAUGGACUUGUGGAAGCUGCCUCGCCAGGACAGCUGGACGCUACCUUCUGGGUUCUGCUCCCUGGUCCCCUUGCAGUUGAAUUUCAUGGAAUUUUAUCAUGUCCCAAACAUACAGUCUAAGAGCUGAGCUCCCUUACCAUUUGUAUUUGAUAGAUUCUUCCAUCUGAGUCUGGGGAUAAAUAUGAGGAAUUUAACCAAGUGGAAAUUGAAUAGCAUAGCAAAGGGAAAUGUGGAUUCAAACUUUGAAAAGUUUCAUGUUCAAGGUUUUCCACCUCCAUCUUUUUUAUUUUAAGCAAACCUUUCAAGCUAUCUUAUGUCCAUGAUUUUCUUGUAAAAUACAGCAAUAACAAUUCCCACUGUUUUUUAAAUCCAAAGUAUUUGAAAGUUCAUACCCUCUGCAGGAUAAUGGAAAUCAUAGUAGUUCCUUGUGAUCUUCUUUUUUGAAUGGAGGAGGGCAUUAGGUUGUUUGGGCUACUGUAACAAAAUAACACCAAAAGGGUGGUAUAAACAGCAGUACUUUAUUAUCUCACAGAUCUGAAUGCCAGACAUCCCAGAUCAAGGUGCCGGGUUGGGUCCUUCUGAGAGAUGUGAAAGAUAGUCUGCUCUAGGCCUUUCUCUUGGCUUCUGGUAGUUUGCUAUCAUUGUUUUUUGCUCUUUGGUGUAUAGAAGCAUCACCCUCAUCUUUACCUCCCUCUUUACACGUGUAUUCCCUGUGUGUAUGUCCAAAUUGCCGUUUUUAGAAAAGACGUGACGUCACAUUGGAUCAGGAGUCUAGAGCAUUCUACUGCAUUAUGAGCACAUCUUAACUCUUUAGGUCACACCUUGAGGUACUGGAAAUGAACUUCAACAUAUGAAUUUGACAGAGGGGAGAAACAUUUCAACCUACAAUGGAGGAUCAUGGGAAUUUUUUAAAAACUUCCUUUACUUAGUGUCCUUUUCAGUGAUUGGGAAAUUUGGGAUUACCGUAUUAUUCUGUAUCCUUCUGUUCCUUCAUUCCUACUCUCUGUAUAAACCCCAAACCACCUCCUAAUGCAUUCAAUUUAUAAUAUCAAAGUAGGAGACUAUGUAGAGAGAUCAGCAUUAGAAUGAAAGAUUGUAAAUCAGACUUAGAAUAUUAAUGGCCUAUGCUAAUCUGACCGCCAAAACUAUUUAGGUCAGUUUCUGAAAAUCACUAAGUAAUGUACCAAAACCUGAUAACCGUUUUUGUAUUUUUCAUUUGCGAAAACUUCCAUUUAUGUCAUCUCACUUAAACCAACAUAGUUCCUAUUUAAAGAUGUAGAAAUUGAAGUUCAGAGGUGAUAUAAUGCCAAAGGUCAUUUGUGUAGUUACCUGGGUUACAUACAACCUGGGUUACAUUUUAUGAGAGAUUAUAAAUCCAUGUCUUGAGUUCUUUAUGCUCUCAUGUCAUGUUCUCUUUAGAAAAUGUAGGUAGGUAGGUUUGUGACUCAUACAGGUCUCAAAUAAAGACCAGUGAAAUUGAAGAGUGGACCCUGUAAGUGCAGAUUGUUUGUAUCAUACUUUCAAUUUCUUCACUUUUCCACAUCAAAUGUUUCUGAUUCUUAUUAUCUAUCACUAGUGCUAUGGUUCACAUAGAUUAUGAGAAGAAAUAUUUCAUUUUUUAAAUCAUUUUUCUUCUG
rnacentral:lncRNA from 1 species